rnacentral:rRNA from 1 species
ACAAGCGGUGGAGCAUGUGGUUAAUUCGACGCAACGCGAAGAACCUUACCAGGCUUGACAUCCCCUGACCGCGUAUGAAAGUACGUUUUCACCCUCGGGUGACAGGGAGACAGGUGGUGCAUGGUUGUCGUCAGCUCGUGUCGUGAGAUGUUGGGUUAAGUCCCGCAACGAGCGCAACCCCUACGUUUAGUUGCUAACAGGUGAAGCUGAGCACUCUAGACGAACUGCCGUUGACAAACGGAGGAAGGUGGGAUGACGUCAAAUCAUCAUGCCCCUUAUGUUCUGGGCUACACACGUGCUACAAUGGCCGGUACAAAGGGACGCAAAGCCGCGAGGUGGAGCAAAUCCGAUAAAAGCCGGUCUCAGUUCGGAUUGCAGGCUGCAAUUCGCCUGCAUGAAGUCGGAAUCGCUAGUAAUCGCGAGUCAGCAUAUCGCGGUGAAUACGUUCCCGGGUCUU